AAAAUGCCGGUUGAGAUUUGGGUCAACGUUGUGCGCAGAUCGUCUAAAGAGAAAACUGAAUUUCUAUGAAUAUUCGACCUUUUACACAGGAUUUACUACUGUGAUUUACAAUCUAACCAACUAAGGUUUUGAUGAAUAUGGCGCAACGACAACCAAAAGUCCAACAAGUCAACAUACGUAAGCCGCGGUCUCCCCCAGAGGGCCAGUUUUGUUCGUACAGCCACCGUACUUGUACACACAACAAAAUUCCAGGCUACGAAUUCUGCUCAAGGCAUAUCUUGGAGGAUAAAAAUGCACCAUUUAAGCAGUGUGAAUUUAAUUCUUCUAAGUCAGGAAAAAAAUGUAUAAACGCAGCAACAAAGUCUGACAAGAAAGGGAGCCACAGAUACUGCUCAGAUCAUGCUAGAAAAGCAAUAAUACUGCGACAAAAAGCUCAUCUCAAACGCAAACCGACAGAAACUGCUGACAACUUAUUGGAGGACCUAGAUCAUUUCAAGCUGGUGGCUGGACCUGAUGGAGUUCUAGAGCACCAGAGACAGCAAGCAGUGGGUGACAAUGUAGCUAGCAGAGCCCUGGGUAAGUCCGGAGGAUAGAGGUAUAUAAAUAAUCUGUGUUAGUCUCUCUGUACUUGUUUUACUAUGGAUUGGUAGGACUAUAGUAACACGCUGAUCAUUACUAAAUGGAGACAGAGAAUUCAAACAAGUAAUCACCUUUUUACAAAUCUGAGGUAUAAAUAUUAAAUGUUGUACAUUGUUUGAUUACAGACUAUGCGAGUUCCAGUGACUCUGAUCUGGAGUCUCCGUUGGUGGACCAGGCCUGGAGAGGGGAUGGGGACAGUGAUGCUGAGAGUAUAGACAGCGACCAGGAGGAUCCACUCAAACAUGCAGGAGUAUACACUGCAGAAGAAGUGGCUUUGAUCAUGAGAGACAAGCUGAUUCGUCUACAAUCUUUAUAUAUUGACCAGUUCAAGAGACUUCAACAUGUUAUGAAGGAGAAACGUAGAAAAUACCUACAAACCAGUAAACAAGAGAGAGAGGCACUAGGAAGCAUUAAGUAUUAUAAAAACAAGGUGCCGUCCCGUGACAAGUACUGUCAACUGAAGGUGCUGAAGCGAUAUCACAAGAGACAUGGAAAGGAGGCCCUCUUACACAGACAGUCCAAACAGAGAAGAAUCGCGGUCUCUGAGGGAUACAACUACAGAGCACCUGCCUAUCCACGAUGUAUCUACAUCGGCGACAACUCUGUCAAGUGUUCAGACAGAGCUAUUCCACUGUCCAAAUUCUGCAAAAAACGUAUCCUUGUGCAACUCUUUAAAGAUGGCACAACAUUGAGUUAUAACAAAAUAAACGCAUUUACUGUUAUACCAAAGAAUAGCAGAUUUUAUUGAAUUCUGCUGAUGUAUUUUAGAAUUAGUACCAGGAAAUAAUUUUCCCAUGCCUUGCUAGAACCCAAAUAAAAUGAUUGCUAAUAAAAAUGUCUGUCACCUUUAAAAUACAUAUAUGUAUUUAUAAAAGUAUAUACUAAGUAUGUAGUAAGGGGGAAAUUUCAUAUGAUUUGCAAUAUCUUAGUAAACCUUUGUAUCUUUAAAUACCAUAAUUACAUGGAAAUUUUAGAAUUUGGUUGAUUUUGUUUAAAAUGGCUUUAUAAAAAUAGUGUGAAUCAGUGUCAUAUAUAGCAAAUAUUUAUGAAAACGAUGUUGGAAGAGAAAGAUUUUUCUUAACUAUCUGUCAGACAUUGGGGAAGACCAGUACCAGGUCUUGUUCCGCCCCUGUCAGUUCGGGGGAGGGGCUUGUGGAAAACAAGUCUUCUGUCUGGAUGAAUGCUGUACCUGUCCAACCCACCUGCCAUUGAAAAAUCCAGAGACCAGAGUUUCUCUAAAGAUUGAGGAGAAUGCAGAUCCUUUAGAUAUGAAGUCUACUGAGUUGACAAAGGAAGCCUUAGACCUGCUGCUUCCUCAGUUGGAUUUCUCUGCACAAGAAAUCAUGAGCCGACAACUGCUCUCAGGAAACCCAGAAAUGCCAGACUCGAUAUUUUCAAUGACAGAGACAGACAAUCACGAGUCUAUGGACACAGGUGAGCACUCAAAGAAAUCAAUGGACCAGAAUGAAAUGAAAUAUCUUGGGGAAGACAAAGGCGAGAAUGUUGCCAACAGUGCAGAGAGUGGAUCAAAUGUGGGUCAAAAAUUCGACCCUCUCUUACUCCAGCAUUUACAUGGGAGUUUUGAGUAUUCACACAGCAGAAGUAGCAGUAAAAAUUCGGAGGCUGCCGCCUCACAGAGCUCAGCUUCCACGGAGACUGCCUCAGAGUCCGCCAGGGAGAGGAAGGACUCUGACAUCACUGAUGAGGAAGACGCUAAACUCGCAGAAGGAGCUGAUGUUUGUUAAUUUUGUUUUUUCAUCAUCAAAAUUCACUUGCAUGUGCAUCAUCAAAUAAAUUUUUUACAAAUUGUU
rnacentral:misc_RNA from 1 species